rnacentral:rRNA from 1 species
GCUUUUUGUUUAUUUAGAAAGUGUAGCCUGCCCGGUGAUUUUAAUUUAACGGCCGCAAUAUUUGUGCUAAGGUAGCAUAAUAAUUUGUCUUUUAAUUGAUGACUAGAAUGAAUGGUUGGACGGAGAAUAACUGUCUCUAAUAUUUUUAUUUUAAAUUUACUUUCAAGUAAAAAGGCUUGAAUUUUUUAGUGGGACGAGAAGACCCUAUAGAGUUUUAUAAUUUUAUUUAAUAAUGGUGCAUUUAUUUUUUUUAUAAUUAUUUGGUUGGGGUGAUUAAUUAAUAAAAUCUAUUUUAGAAUUAAUGACUUUAGGUUUAUUAUGAUCCAUAUUUUAUGAUUAUUAGAUUUAAUUACCUUAGGGAUAACAGCGUUAUCUUUUUAUAGAGUUCUUAUCGAUGAAAGGGAUUUCGACCUCGAUGUUGGAUUAAAAUUCUUAAUUUGGAGAAGCAACUAAUUUAAGUAGUCUGUUCGACUAUUAAAAUUUUACA